UUUUUAAAAUUAAUCUUAUUUUAGAUUUUUAUCAUAUUUGUUUUUUUAUACAAUGCCUACAAUUAUUUAUAGUCUCUCCCCAAUCCUUAAAUAGGAGAAUAAUGUAUUUUAAUACACUCGAACCCACGUCCUCUAUAAUCUUAAUAUUAGCCCUAUAAAAAUAAGACAUUGACAGCCUCCGGACGUACUAAUGUCUAGAGUAUGAAUACAACAACUAAAGAUAUGGAAUUGAGGCGGUAUCCGCAAGUAUACGAGUCAAGUUGUGAUAUAGUUUUUACAACCAAGUAAGUGAAUACUCCGAGGAUCGUACCCAAAGGAGGCGAGUAGUAAAUUAAAGUUAAUCUAAACACAAAUAGAAUUAAUUAGUAAUUAAAUAAAUUAUAUUACGAGUAAAUAUAAAUAAGAGAUUUCUUUUUUGUUUUUAUAAAUAAAGAAUUUAAAAGAACUAAAAUCUAAACUCAAUCAAAUCUAAAAAUAGGGGACUAGCUCACUUCGGUGGUCAUAACUAAUUCCUAUUUAGAGUUUUUAUUCAAUCAACUAGUCGUUACCCUAACAGGAUCUCUCGAUCUUCCACUAAAUUAAUGAGUCGACAAUAACUACUUAUCUCUUAACCUCACAGUCUAAACCGGUUUGAGGCUAAGGUAUUCACGGAUAGGCCAUACCAAAUUUGGGUUAAUUCCCUAAGGUCGUCAAGCCUAAGGUUUAAGUUCUUCCUUUCCCAAACAGUUGGUCUGCUAAGAAAACCCUACAUAGCAAUUAGUUAAUCACACCUCCACUCACUAAUCCCCCAUAAGAAGAUUAGUUCCUUGUGGAAUCCAUAAACAUGAUGAACUUGAUAAUAAAGAUAUGUAUGAAAAAUAAAUCAAGAAUAAGGUUUAGAGAAUCUUGAUUGUAUUCAAUUGAUGAAGUGCAGAAAUCCUCAAACGUUUAAUUGUGUUUACGAACCAAGUUCUCUAAAGAACACAAAUGAAAAGAACUGAAAAGAAAUUUAAAGCCUAAAAUAAAAGAAAAUUGAAAACUAAAUGACAAGUAAAAACUGAGAAUAGGAAAAUUGUCCCUAAACAAGUGUUUGAAGAGCCUAUUUAUAGAGUUAGGGUUGGUUGUCAUCCUUAAUCGUAAGUUAGUUGACAUUUUCGUGUUAAUAUCUAUUAUGCAGACCAAAAUGCCCAUCGCUUGUAAUUGUUCUCGUACAGGGCCGGUGUCGCGACACUAAAGGCAGUAUGCUUGGUUUAGGUUUGGCUUUAGAGGUAUGUCGUGACAUCCUAUGGCUGUGUUGCGACACCAAAGGCAAACUUGAAAUUCUUGUAUUCUGUUCCUUAUGUUGUGACAUUGAACUUCUCGAGUUGCAAUACAGUGACCAACCUUGAGUUCCUAUGCCUUUGAAUGGUAUCCUGUACACUCACUAAGCACGUUAGCUCACCCUUAGGCCUCAUUCGACAUCUAAAGUCAUAAAAAUACUCAAGAUACACUUUUUAUUUAAUUCAAAGCAAAGAUAGAAAAUUUAACUAAAACAAAACAAAAAUGCGUGUAUUCAAUCUUUUUAAAUAUGAAAAUUAGUUUAAUCUGUUAUAUCAUAUUAUAGUAGGUCAAACACUUAUUGUUCAAACUUUAGAGACGAUAACAUAAACCAUAAAACGAACAUAAAAAAUAUAAAAAAGAGUAGGAGACUUAUCCAAAUAAAUUCACCCGAUUUCUGACCAACCCGCCGGCUAAACGACUUUCCCAACACUUAAAUUUUAUUGUACAUUGUCUUCACCUUACGACCCUGGAUC
rnacentral:lncRNA from 1 species